rnacentral:tRNA from 1 species
GGGGAUGUAGCUCAGUGGCAGAGCACUUGCCUAACAUGUGUGAGUCUCUGGAUUCCAUCCCCA